rnacentral:rRNA from 1 species
AUUGAACGCUGGCGGCAGGCCUAACACAUGCAAGUCGAGCGGGGUUUUCGGACCUAGCGGCGGACGGGUGAGUAAUGCGUAGGAAGCUGCCCGAUAGAGGGGGAUACCAGUUGGAAACGACUGUUAAUACCGCAUAAUGUCUACGGACCAAAGUGUGGGACCUUCGGGCCACAUGCUAUCGGAUGCGCCUACGUGGGAUUAGCUAGUUGGUGAGGUAAUGGCUCACCAAGGCGACGAUCUCUAGCUGGUUUGAGAGGAUGAUCAGCCACACUGGAACUGAGACACGGUCCAGACUCCUACGGGAGGCAGCAGUGGGGAAUAUUGGACAAUGGGCGCAAGCCUGAUCCAGCCAUGCCGCGUGUGUGAAGAAGGCCUUCGGGUUGUAAAGCACUUUCAGCGAGGAGGAGGGGGUGUGUGUUAAUAGUACACACCUUUGACGUUACUCGCAGAAGAAGCACCGGCUAACUCUGUGCCAGCCGCCGCGGUAAUAC